rfam:Gossypium arboreum cultivar AKA8401 contig_36497_1, whole genome shotgun sequence.
UGUUAAAAAUUUCAUUCAUUGCUACUGUUAUUGGUGUAGUUGAUAGAAUAACUAGACAAUUGCGCGUGAUGUGUCACGUGUACCUCAUGCUAGUAUACAAGGACCAAUUUUUAAUUGUAAAAAUGGAUGGAAUUUGUAACA